CUCACAUCCCUCCUCCUCCCUCCUCCCUCCAGCCCUCCCCAGUAGUCUGUCAUCAGUUCCUGAGAACCUUGUCCUGGCAGAAGGAGCUGCUGAGAGGUGUUUGAGCAGCUGAGACAGCCACGGAGUGGUGCCUCUUGGUUCAUCUUUCAAGAGAAUGUGGGGCUCGUCUGCAAGGCUGUGGUUCACCCCUCCAGCUCAGUCCACUGUUUGCGCUGCUGCUGCUGCUGCUGCUGCCUUGCCUCACUUUUGGCCUGGCUAUUUCUCCCACAUAACCCACAGUCUCUGUAUCCAGCUCCACUCUGGGACGGCAAGACUCUUGAAGAUCUGAGAGGUGCUCAGAGCGCAUGCGGAGUGCACGCAGAGCGCAUGCUCCCUGGCUUCUGUCCUUCACAUCUGUCAAAUCUGCAUUAAAAGCUUUUCUCUCAUCCCUGCUUUAUCUUCCUCAAUCCUUGCCCACAAAGAAUCCAACAUCUACUUCAUGGUAAUUCCAACUGGCUCACAGCUAUUUGAAAUAAAACCUCUUCCUUACUCGUGGA
rnacentral:sRNA from 1 species